rnacentral:rRNA from 1 species
ACAACAUUUGUAGCAAUACAGAUGUUGUUUAGUGGCGAACGGGUGCGUAACACGUGGGGAAUCUGCCGAGAAGUGGGGGAUAGCUCGCCGAAAGGCGAAUUAAUACCGCAUAUGAUCAGGGAAGACAUCUUUCCGACAUCAAAGCCGGGGCAACCUGGCGCUUCUUGAUGACCCCGCGGCCUAUCAGCUAGUUGGUGAGGUAACGGCCCACCAAGGCGAUGACGGGUAGCUGGUCUGAGAGGACGACCAGUCACACUGGAACUGAGACACGGUCCAGACACCUACGGGUGGCAGCAGUCGAGAAUUUUUCUCAAUGGGGGCAACCCUGAAGGAGCGACGCCGCGUGGAGGAUGAAGGCUUUCGGGUUGUAAACUCCUGUCAUUUGAGAACAAGUGGCCGAAAUUAACUACUUCGGCCUUGAUAGUAUCAGAAGAGGAAGGGACGGCUAACUCUGUGCCAGCAGCCGCGGUAAUACAGAGGUCCCGAGCGUUGUUCGGAUUCAUUGGGCGUAAAGGGUGCGUAGGUGGCGCCGUAAGUGGGGUGUGAAAUCCCGGGGCUUAACCCCGGGACUGCAUUCCAUACUGCGGUGCUUGAGGACUGGAGAGGAGACUGGAAUUUACGGUGUAGCAGUGAAAUGCGUAGAGAUCGUAAGGAAGACCAGUGGCGAAGGCGGGUCUCUGGACAGUUCCUGACACUGAGGCACGAAGGCCAGGGGAGCAAACGGGAUUAGAUACCCCGGUAGUCCUGGCAGUAAACGGUGCACGUUUGGUGUGGGANGAUUCGACCCCUUCCGCGCCGGAGCUAACGCGUUAAACGUGCCGCCUGGGGAGUACGGUCGCAAGAUUAAAACUC